AGAAUCAACGCUGGCGGCGUGCCUCAGACAUGCAAGUCGAACGCGAAAGUCCCCCUUCGGGGGGCAAGUAGAGUGGCGCACGGGUGAGUAACACGUAGGUAAUCUACCUUUGGAUGGGGAAUAACAAUCGGAAACGAUUGCUAAUACCGCAUAAUGCAGCGGCACCUAAUGGUGACAGUUGUUAAAGCGGGGGAUCGAAAGACCUCGCGUCUGAAGAGGAGCCUGCGGCGGAUUAGCUAGUUGGUAAGGUAAUGGCUUACCAAGGCUACGAUCCGUAACCGGCCUGAGAGGGGCGGUCGGUCACACUGACAC
rnacentral:rRNA from 1 species